rnacentral:rRNA from 1 species
GGCCAGACUCCUACGGGAGGCAGCAGUGGGGAAUAUUGCACAAUGGGGGGAACCCUGAUGCAGCAAUGCCGCGUGAAGGAUGAAGGUCUUCGGAUUGUAAACUUCUUUUGUACGGGACGAAGAAAGUGACGGUACCGUAAGAAUAAGCCACGGCUAACUACGUGCCAGCAGCCGCGGUAAUACGUAGGUGGCAAGCGUUAUCCGGAUUUACUGGGUGUAAGGGGCGAGUAGGCGGGAUUGCAAGUCAGAUGUGAAAACUAUGGGCUCAACCCAUAACCUGCAUUUGAAACUGUAGUUCUUGAGUGUUGGAGAGGCAGGCGGAAUUCCGUGUGUAGCGGUGAAAUGCGUAGAUAUACGGAGGAACACCAGUGGCGAAGGCGGCCUGCUGGACAUUAACUGACGCUGAGGCGCGAAAGCGUGGGGAGCAAACAGGAUUAGAUACCCCCGUA